GACGAACGCUGGCGGCGUGCCUAAUACAUGCAAGUAGAACGCUGAAGAGAGGAGCUUGCUCUUCUUGGAUGAGUUGCGAACGGGUGAGUAACGCGUAGGUAACCUGCCUUGUAGCGGGGGAUAACUAUUGGAAACGAUAGCUAAUACCGCAUAACAAUGGAUGACACAUGUCAUUUAUUUGAAAGGGGCAAUUGCUCCACUACAAGAUGGACCUGCGUUGUAUUAGCUAGUAGGUGAGGUAACGGCUCACCUAGGCGACGAUACAUAGCCGACCUGAGAGGGUGAUCGGCCACACUGGGACUGAGACACGGCCCAGACUCCUACGGGAGGCAGCAGUAGGGAAUCUUCGGCAAUGGGGGCAACCCUGACCGAGCAACGCCGCGUGAGUGAAGAAGGUUUUCGGAUCGUAAAGCUCUGUUGUAAGUCAAGAACGAGUGUGAGAGUGGAAAAUUCACACUGUGACGGUAGCUUACCAGAAAGGGACGGCUAACUACGUGCCAGCAGCCGCGGUAAUACGUAGGUCCCGAGCGUUGUCCGGAUUUAUUGGGCGUAAAGCGAGCGCAGGCGGUUUGAUAAGUCUGAAGUUAAAGGCUGUGGCUCAACCAUAGUUCGCUUUGGAAACUGUCAAACUUGAGUGCAGAAGGGGAGAGUGGAAUUCCAUGUGUAGCGGUGAAAUGCGUAGAUAUAUGGAGGAACACCGGUGGCGAAAGCGGCUCUCUGGUCUGUAACUGACGCUGAGGCUCGAAAGCGUGGGGAGCGAACAGGAUUAGAUACCCUGGUAGUCCACGCCGUAAACGAUGAGUGCUAGGUGUUGGAUCCUUUCCGGGAUUCAGUGCCGCAGCUAACGCAUUAAGCACUCCGCCUGGGGAGUACGACCGCAAGGUUGAAACUCAAAGGAAUUGACGGGGGCCCGCACAAGCGGUGGAGCAUGUGGUUUAAUUCGAAGCAACGCGAAGAACCUUACCAGGUCUUGACAUCCCGAUGCUAUUUCUGGAGAUAGAAAGUUACUUCGGUACAUCGGUGACAGGUGGUGCAUGGUUGUCGUCAGCUCGUGUCGUGAGAUGUUGGGUUAAGUCCCGCAACGAGCGCAACCCCUAUUGUUAGUUGCCAUCAUUCAGUUGGGCACUCUAGCGAGACUGCCGGUAAUAAACCGGAGGAAGGUGGGGAUGACGUCAAAUCAUCAUGCCCCUUAUGACCUGGGCUACACACGUGCUACAAUGGUUGGUACAACGAGUUGCGAGUCGGUGACGGCAAGCUAAUCUCUUAAAGCCAAUCUCAGUUCGGAUUGUAGGCUGCAACUCGCCUACAUGAAGUCGGAAUCGCUAGUAAUCGCGGAUCAGCACGCCGCGGUGAAUACGUUCCCGGGCCU
rnacentral:rRNA from 1 species